rnacentral:sRNA from 1 species
AUAUGGUAUAAUGCUUAUUGUAGAAAAGUGAAGACGGUGGCUCUUGUUUUCUGAAAGAGAGGUGGUGCCAAUGGGCAAUUCAUCAAAAUCUGACAGGAAGGAGGAGCAAUUUUGACAGCGUUUGAAGUUGUGCAGACCAUUUUAAGUUUUGGUAGUUUUACCGUAGCUGUGAUUGG